AAGAGCUAUGAUACAUAUGGAAUGCAAAUUGACCCCCUCCAACGAUUUGAAACAAGAUGGAUCGUUCAAGAUUGAAGUUAGGAAAACUAUUCUAAUCACAUAAUCAAUGAAAAUUUGAUGAAGUAAUUAGAAUAGUACUUUGAUUCCCUUAAAACGCCACAAACUAAGAAGCUUGAUAAGUUGAAAGGAAAAACAAAGAUUUUUCUUGGGUUUUGAACGCCACAAACAGAAAUGCUUGAUAAGUCCAAAGUUCAUGCAAGAACUUAAAAACAAAACACUC
rnacentral:lncRNA from 1 species